rnacentral:rRNA from 1 species
AAACCCCACUCAUAAAAAAAAAAAAUUUUUAUAUAUAAAUAAAUAAAGAUCACUUUCAACAACGGAUCUCUUGGCUCUCGCAUCGAUGAAGAACGUAGCGAAGUGCGAUAAGUAAUGUGAAUUGCAAAUUCCGUGAAUCAUCGAAUCUUUU